rnacentral:piRNA from 1 species
UUGAAUUCUCGAAUUCAAAAA